rnacentral:rRNA from 1 species
UACAGAGGGGGCAAGCGUUGUUCGGAAUUACUGGGCGUAAAGGGCGCGUAGGCGGCCUUCUAAGUCAGACGUGAAAUCCCUCGGCUCAACCAAGGAAGUGCAUCCGAAACUGCUGAGCUUGAGUACUUAAGAGGAUCGCGGAAUUCCCGGUGUAGAGGUGAAAUUCGUAGAUAUCGGGAGGAACACCAGUGGCGAAGGCGGCGAUCUGGGAAGAUACUGACGCUGAGGUGCGAAAGCGUGGGGAGCAAACAGG